rnacentral:rRNA from 1 species
UGGGGAAUAUUGGACAAUGGGCGCAAGCCUGAUCCAGCCAUGCCGCGUGAGUGAUGAAGGCCCUAGGGUUGUAAAGCUCUUUUGUGCGGGAAGAUAAUGACGGUACCGCAAGAAUAAGCCCCGGCUAACUUCGUGCCAGCAGCCGCGGUAAUACGAAGGGGGCUAGCGUUGCUCGGAAUCACUGGGCGUAAAGGGUGCGUAGGCGGGUCUUUAAGUCAGAGGUGAAAUCCUGGAGCUCAACUCCAGAACU